GGGCGUAUAGCUCAGUUGGCUAGAGCGUCACGUUGACAUCGUGAAGGUCGUUGGUUCGAGCCCAAUUACGCCCA
rnacentral:tRNA from 1 species